rnacentral:lncRNA from 1 species
UGCUCCUGUAAGAAAAAGUUUGGGCACGUCACUUGACUACAUCCAGAGCCUGGAGAAUGUCGCCCCAGGCACAGGGACAAGAGCCAUGGAGAGGAAACGGGGAGCCCUGCUGGGGCUUUUGUGGGUGCAGAUUUGCUGUGAGUUGAGGGCCCCUGCCUGGGGUCAGCGGCUUGCAGACCUGACACGAGAGGCAGGGAAAGGAGGACUGAUGCAGAGCCCCCGCCUCAUGAGCGUUUCCUGGGAUAUUGUCCAGGUUUGGAAAUUGUUCAGUGAUUCCCCAGUGUCAAUAUAUGUGUCUGCUUCUCUUUUUCCAAACAGGGGUGAGAGGCAUGCAGGUGGAGCAGAGCCCUUCAACCCUGAGUGUCCAGGAGGGAGACAGCCCUACAAUGAGGAACACACUGAAGAUUCUCGACCAGAAGGCAGUGCUCUGAGCUCACCAGGGGUUGUACCCUGAGCUGGCUAGAGGAGAAGACUCUGUACUAUGUGUUCACAUCACAGACAAUAAUUUGCAUUUUAAUCUUUUCUGAAUAGCACCGUCUAUUAGAGAGCUGAUUGAAAUUUUCCUUUCUGAUGUAACAUACACUGGCGUUGCUUAUGUUUUGAGUGACUCAGUUACUACAGAUUUUCCAACAUUAUUACAUUGGGGGAAGAUGAGCAGAAAGCUUUGCCGCAGCACCCUGACAAGUAAACCCGAGGUUUAAGCUUGUGUGUGCAUCCCAGCCUGGCAGGGACUUCUGUGUGAAUGUACGGGAUUGCCUGCGAGACUGAGACCCUGAGAUUAAGAUGAGGACAAACGGGCGACUCCAGGGAAGCUGAGGGCAAGAGCAGCUUCCUGGGCAUGUGGCCUACAAAGUCCACAGGCUCAGCCCACAAAGGGCCUAGGAGUGGAAUUAAUGUUCUGCUGUUGCUGCUGUGACGCUCCUAGUAAAUUGGGCUUUGAGCUUGUGCACUGCAAGUGAAGACUGAUCAGAGGAUGGAGCAUGUGCACGAGCCUGUGAGAAGCAUAGGAACACAUGCAAGGUCGGAUUCAAGGGCACAGCCAGGAACCUAUGUGCUGACUUGUUGUUUUUUCCAUUCCAAGUGCACGAGCACACUAGGAGCUCUCUGGUAAUCUGGGACACAUAAAAGUGGGUGUCAAUGGACAUGUUUAGUAAAUUAUCACAAAAAGAAAGUAGUACAAAUUAUUACAAAACAUAUAUAUGUGCAUAUAGAGUGCAAUCAACCAUUUUGGAAAUGUAUUAGCUGUGAGGAACAGCAGGGGUUAGAGGCAAGCAGAGCCCACCAGGCUUGUGUGAAGGCAACAUGCCCUAAGAUUUAUGGUGCCUGGGUGCAGGCAGAUAGAAGGUGAAAAGGCCGUCUGUGGAGUACACAGAAAAAUGGAGCCUUUUAUUGGGCUUGGACAUAGAGGGUCAGGGACUUCAGGUGAGGAGAACUGAACAAACAUCCAUGGUCAAAG